UGAAUACGACGAAAAGGCUCACCUCCGGGUGGGCCUUUUUGCUUUCCGCCGUUCGCCUAGACGUGCUGCCCGCCGUUGACGUGGAUUUCCGCGCCAUUCACGUAGGAUGCGCCGCUGGUGCAGAGGAAGUAGAUCAGCGAAGCGAUCUCCUCCGGCCGGCCGAGGCGGUGCAGCGGGAUACUGCGCUCGACGAUCUCCUCGGUGCCCGGCGACAGGAUCGAGGUGUCGAUCUCCCCCGGCGCGAUGGCGUUCACCCGCACCCCAUGCGGGCCGAAGUCGUGGGCCAUCUCGCGGGUCAGCGCGGACAACGCCGCCUUGGAAGUGGCGUAGGCCACCCCGGCGAACGGAUGCACCUUCGAGCCGGCGAUGGAGGUCACGUUGAUCACCGUUCCCUGCGCCGCCUUCAGCUCGGCGAACAGGCCGCGCGCCAGCAGCGCGGUGGAGAACAGGUUGACGUUGAACACCCGCAGCCAGGUGGCGUAGUCGGUUUCCAGCACACCGAGGCGCUCGCCGCCUUCGCCCUUGGGCGAGAUGCCGGCAUUGUCCACCAGCGCGUGGAGCCGGCCGUCGCCAAGCUUCUCGCGGAUCAGUUCCAGGCUGG
rnacentral:sRNA from 1 species